rnacentral:ncRNA from 1 species
CAACUUGAGAGUUUGAUCCUGGCUCAGAACGAACGCUGGCGGCAGGCCUAACACAUGCAAGUCGAGCGAGACCUUCGGGUCUAGCGGCGGACGGGUUAGUAACGCGUGGGAAUAUACCCUUCACUACGGAAUAGCCUCGGGAAACUGGGAGUAAUACCGUAUACGCCCUUUGGGGGAAAGAUUUAUCGGUGAAGGAUUAGCCCGCGUCUGAUUAGAUAGUUGGUGGGGUAAUGGCCUACCAAGUCUACGAUCAGUAGCUGGUUUGAGAGGAUGAUCAGCAACACUGGGACUGAGACACGGCCCAGACUCCUACGGGAGGCAGCAGUGGGGAAUCUUAGACAAUGGGCGCAAGCCUGAUCUAGCCAUGCCGCGUGAGUGACGAAGGCCUUAGGGUCGUAAAGCUCUUUCGCCAGAGAUGAUAAUGACAGUAUCUGGUAAAGAAACCCCGGCUAACUCCGUGCCAGCAGCCGCGGUAAUACG